UGUGAAUCAGGGCAACUAGAGGGCAACUCAGGUGGGGAGGUAAGGGCUGUGUCUGGUUUGUUUACAUCGAUACCCUCAACACAGUGCCUGGCAUGGAGGUGUAAUCAGCAAAUAGUUGUAGGAAGAAAGAAAAGAGAGAGAGUAAAAGAGGUGAGGGGGAGCAAAGAAGGAAGAAAGGGAGGGAAGGAGGAAGAGAGGAAGGAAGGAAUGAAGGAAGGAGAAAAAGGAAGAAAAAAGAGGAAGGAAAGAUGGGGUAAUUGGGGAGGUCUUCAGCAUCACUCAGGGAAGAAAGGAAAGAAAAAAAUAAGCACUUAGGUGAUAAUGGGAAACUGGCUUAACUUCACAAUUCUGUCUUCAUUUUUCCUUCUGUGUUCUAUACCAUGCUUUAGACAUUUUUUAAUCACCCUCCGAUCUUACUACAAGGGUUCAUAGUUUCACGUUUCCAAACUGCAGCACAGCUUUUCAUGUAGGGAGCAUCUCGCAAGUUGAUACAGGCGUCACUUUCCAUGGGCUGUCAGGGCUGCCAGGCUGUGCACACACUGGGCUGGGCAAGGACCCCACUGCCACCCCAUCAGUAUCAUUACUGAGCUGGCAAAAACUGCACCAACAUGCUGGCCCACAGGACUCUCCUGCCAAGCUCCUAUUAACCUGAUUCCUUAAGCACGAUGUUUCUUUUUUUCCCCACUUUAUAGAAUAAUUGCAAAGUUAAUUUACAGCAAUAACAGGCUGAAUGAAAUUCUAAGUUCAACUCAGACAAUUCCAAUUGAGCAACAAACUUUCUCUGGCUCCUGCAGAGAUGCAAAUUCCUGACAUUUUAUUACCAAUUAUAUUUAAUUUCAACUUGAAGUAAAACAAUGUAUUUCCCAUUAUCCAAACUGGGUCUCUAAACCCCUGUCUGGGACUCUGCUGUGAUGAGUGCUCCGUGAGCAGAGCUGCCCGCUCCCGACUCUGAGCCCUGGGAGCUGAAGAUCCUGGUGCUGUGCUUUAGGGUCCCCCCACCCCACCCUGUGUCCUGCCUCUCUCCAGGGGUGGCCAGGAGCUCACAGCUUUUUCCUCUGCUCAGGAAAAUCAUUCACCAGGGACUUAAGGUCUGGGUUCUCACGGAGCGUUUUACCAAAUAGCCAGUUCCCAAAUUCUAAGUCUUCUCUGGCUCUGCAUACACAGCACCAGUGACCACUGGAGCUACAUAUCCAUACAUAUGUAUUAGAAAUACAUGUGAAUACAGGUACUGUUCUAUUUGUCUAGUAAACAUAUAUCUGCUUGGAUAUUUGUACAUCCAUAUAUACACACAUAUAUUCAGAAAUAUAUUUUUGUGUCAACAAAAGAAAGGCACUUCUGAAAAAAGAAAGACACUUAGAUAUUUGACUAAAUGACCUCUAAAGUCCUUCUAACCUAGAGGUUCUAAAAGUGUAUACAUGGGUAAUAUGUAAACUGAAAGGGAAAGAACCUGCGUUUGUUUGGAGUGGUAAUUGGUGAGGCGUUUAUGGUUACCCUUAGGGAACUGCUAUUGGCUGUUUUAGGGGAGGGAUGCGCUAUGGAGCACUUCACAAGCCAUACUGUCAAGUGAAAAAUGCAAUGCUAAUGCAGAACAGUAUGCUUAGUAUGCUACUGAUUUAUAAAGGAAAAGUGUGUGUGUAUGCAUGCGUGUGCACGUGUGUGCACGCACAUAUAUGUGCCUGUGCCUGCAUAUACAGAGCAUACUCUCAAAGGAUCCACAAGAAACCAUGGCCAGUGGAUCUGAUGACUGCAGAUCGGGGCUAUGUGGGGGACACAGACUUCUUUUUGAACGUAUAACCUUUUGUGCCUUUUGAAUUUCCUGCCUUGUCAUAAUUACUUACUCAAAAUAAAAGUUAAUUAAAAAACAGAGUUGCUGCUUCUCAGCUGACCUUCAUCUUUACAUUAUCUCUCUGCUUGAUAGUUCUUUCUUUAUCUCAUUUUAAAAUCUACUUCUGCUACCUUGAGCAUCUUCAGAGAUCAGCAAAAUUAAUUUUGCCUGUUCAGAAUUCUUGCUGAUCAGUGACUAAGCCUGUUUACCUCCCAGCUCCACCCUUUCCUCUCCCAGCUGCUCUGCAGUAGCACGGGGCAGCAAGACCCUGUCAGAGAGCAUGGGACUAUCAGGAGAACUGGGCUCUGUCCUUGUUAUCCGGCACUAGCUAGCUGCAUGGCUUUGGGCAGGUCACUACACCUCUCUGAGCCUCAGAAUCUUCAUGUAUGAAAUGAAGGAAGUGACCCAGAGCAUCAAAGCCCUCUCCAUCUGCCGGUCUGCAACCCCACUCUAUGGAGAACAAGCUAAUCCUCUUGCUGCACUGCUCUCCUGGCCUCCCUGGACGGGACAUGCUCUCCGGGCCCCAGCAUGCUCACCGGCUGCACAAGAAACUGCAAGCUUCUUGAAAACAAGUUUGUGAAGGCAAUUAGUGCCAAAUGGUACAGGAUUCCGCACAUAAGUCAAACCAGCAGAGCAGUUUUAUUUAGGCCUAUGGACCAAAAUCCUGCCAGCAGUCAGACAGAGUGAGCACCUUCACUUUUGAACAAGGGGAGUUAACAUCUAUAAAACAAGUUCCGGUAAGUAGCACUGCCCUUUUCCCUAAAAUCAGACUUUCAGUACUACCUGGUACCUUUCAGGAUCAGACACACAACUACUUUUUUCAGAAUAAAUGAAUGAAUGAAGAGUGCAUAAACGAAUGCGUGAGUAAAUGAUAGCAAGUCCAACUCUUGUAAGAAUAUUUUCUGCAGGCUUGUUAUUCUCUAGGGAAAAUCAGCAAGACGUGCCUAACUCUUAGCAUCUUGGGAGAGUUACUUAAACC
rnacentral:lncRNA from 1 species